CUUUUUUCUGUUGCAGAUGGUGUUAAAAAACAAAUUUUACAUCUGAUUCGAAAUUCUUAGAUUUCUCCCAAUACUUGGAAAGCACACCCGUCUCAUUUCUCUUGUGAACAUCAACAGGCUAGAUCAACUCUACUGGUGUCAAAAGUGCAUGGAACAAACAUAGCAGAAAGAGCUACAGUGAGUCGAGUGGCGCCGAUGAUACCCCUGCCAUUGAGCAGAUAAUACAGCGUUAGCUGGGGGACUCAUAGCCUUAGCAUGUUCUCCAUGUGUUUAAUUUUAGUAUUUGAGCUUCAAGACUCCUGGUACGACACAGAUAAGUGCCUAUAGGCCCAAUUCACAUCGAAAUGACGUGGCUUUGGAGUGGCGCUGACUUUUUAACAUACAAACAUAAAUGGUUGAAUGCAAACAGAAGUGGCUUGGCGAAAUGCCAAUCCAGUGUGCAUUGGACCAUAGGCCUAUAAUUAUGGAGUGCCAAAAUGUCAGUGACAUACCACCACCACGUCACUGUUCAGCUGUUCUUGUUUAUGUUGUAUGCUUGUAAAUAAAUUCAAUUCUAUUAAU